GUGCUCGCUUCAGCAGCACAUACACUAAAAACUGGACCGAUACGCACGGGAAGAUGAGCACGGCCCCUGCACAAGGAUGACACGCAAAUUCAUGAAGCAUUCCAUACAAAA
ensembl:snRNA U6 U6 spliceosomal RNA